AGUGAACGCUGGCGGUAGGCCUAACACAUGCAAGUCGAACGGCAGCACAGUAAGAGCUUGCUCUUACGGGUGGCGAGUGGCGGACGGGUGAGGAAUACAUCGGAAUCUACUUUUUCGUGGGGGAUAACGUAGGAAGACUUACGCUAAUACCUCAUACCACCUAACAGUGAAAGCAGGUUAUCUUCAGACCUUGCCCUCUUUCAUGAACCGAUGUCCGGUUUACUAGUUGGCGGGGUAAGGGCCCACCAAGGCAACGAUCGGUAGCUGGUCUGAGAGGAUGGUCAGCCACACUGGAGCGGAGAAACGGUCAAGACUCCUACGGGAGGAAGCAGUGGGGAAUAUUGGACAAGGGGCGAAAGCUUGCUCCAGCCAUACCGCGUGGGUGAAGAAGGCCUUCGGGUUGUAAAGCCCUUUUGUAGGGAAAGAAAAGCAGCAGGUUAAUACGCCGCUGUUCUGACGGUACCCAAAGAAUAAGCAACGGCUAACUUCGUG
rnacentral:rRNA from 1 species